rnacentral:pre_miRNA from 1 species
UGCAUACUCCCUCCGUCUCAUAUUAAGUGACGAAAUAUUACAUGUAUUUAGAUGUUUUUUAGCUAUAGAUACAUCCAUACUUGAACAAAUUUGAGUCACUUAAUAUGUGACGGAGGAAAUAUAUC